UAUGAUUGUUAAGUGUAUUAACAAAACCGGUUUUUCAUUCUGAGCUCUGCAGUUGAAUGUUCCAUUCAUCUUUAGGAGUAUGGAGAAAUGACUAUAACUGUAACUUAUCUUAUUUGUUGUUUGAAGAUGCAAAUAUGUUAAGUGAUAUGUCUCGGAGAGCUCUAAGGAGCUAAAUUAGAGUGUUUGCAACUGUGAACAUUGACAAAAAUGUGGGUCGGCUAUGUCCAAGAAGCCAGCCUGUCAGCUGCCUCUCUUGAUCAAACAUCAGCUUAUACCUCACCAGGCCCAUGUGUUGUACCUUAACAAAUAUAUUCAGCAAGUGGCCGAAUUUAAGGGGCA
rnacentral:lncRNA from 1 species